AUGAGGGACUAUGAGAAAUCCUCACUACGGGGAUAUCUAACUGAAGCACUACAUAGUGCCCGUUCGGAGCCCCUCCGCUCCACAACUCUGCCACGGAGCGGAGCGGGCUGCAGUUCAAAUUUCCAGAGCGGUGGAAUAGGUGCUCCUGCUCCGCCAGGCUGCAGUUCAAAUUUCCAGAGCGGUGGAAUAGGUGCUCCUGCUCCGCCAGAUUCGUGGAGCUGGUGGAUUACCAAACAGGCCCAUAAUAUACGGGCUGUUUCAGUUGUAAUUGUGACUGCAAAUUGUAUGGAAACACAUGAAUUAGUUAUGUUCUCUGAAUGA
rnacentral:rRNA from 1 species